CAAAAUUCAAAAUAGAAGCCCCAAUAUAUAUUUCGUUUCAAUUAAUCUGUGGAAUUCGAAUCGUCAGUCUCUCUCUCUCUUUCUCUCUCUAAUGCCUCCUCCCCUCUCCAGAAUUCUCUCUCUCUCUCUCUCUCUAGAAUUCUCUCUCUGUUAUUUCUCUUCAUCUCUCAAGAAGUUUCUCUCUGAUCAAAUCGUCGUCUGGUUUCGUCCGCGUUCCACGAAGAAUUAUCGUCUGAGAGGAUUAGAUCUACAAAUUGGUUUUUUCACCUAUAGGCAAAUCAAAGCAGCCACUAACUAAUUUGAUGCUGCAAAUAAGAUUGGAGAAUGCUGCAGAUAAGAUUGGAGAAGGUGGUUUUGGAUACGUAUACAAGAAAACAAAGAGCAACAGAAUCCACAAGUACUAAAAGUCUAAAAGAAAUGGAGUUAAUAAAACUGGACUAAAGAUUUAUGCUGUGGUGCUUUGUGAUAUGCUCUGGUUUUCCAGAAAUCAAGCUGUACAUAAUGGAGUUAUUCCUGAUGCAUCCAAGCUUGCUGAAAAUAUCAAACGGAUCUCUUUGGAACAUUUUGCAGCCUGGUUUUCUAUCUCCACUCCAGUAAGAGAAUUUUGGUCUCCUCCCUCAGCAGGCAGUUUUAACUUUUAAGAUCAAUUUUGACUCAGCCAUCAGAGACCUCUUCUCUGUCCAAGCAGCUGUCUGCAGAAAUUCCAAAGGCAACAUUGUCAAGGCUUUCUCACAAGUUAGGCCUCCCUGUGAUCCCAUGUUUGGUGAAGCUCAAGCAGCCCUUCUGGCUGCUUCUUUAGCAGUUUCUUUAAAACUAGAGAAUUUCAUUUUAGAAGAAGACUCUUCUAUUGUAAUAUCUCUUCUUUAUAGAGUCCUACUAUAGUCUUAGAUUAGCAUAUUGAGCAUGUAAUUUCUUUCUAUUCUCCUGGUCUCCUUUCUGUGGGAGGUUCAGAAAGUUUACAAAAGUGCAAACUUCUGCAUCCAUCAUGUUGCAUAUAGGGUUGUGGCAAGAGUUAUUUCGGGCUGCAUUCCCUACAUAGUUUCCCCUCCUCUUCCUAUUCCUAUUUGUAGUGGCAAG